UCCUGAAGAAAACAGACAUGGAGUGCAGG
rnacentral:piRNA from 2 species